CUGCGCGCUCCGGGGUCGGUGAAACUCCGAACCGGCGGUGACAGUCCGCGACCCGGCCGAAGCCAUCGGCUGGUGGACCCGGUGGAAUUCCGGGACCGACGGUGAAAGUCCGGAUGGGAGGCAGCGCGCGA
rnacentral:ncRNA from 2 species